rnacentral:rRNA from 1 species
UACGAAGGGGGCUAGCGUUGCUCGGAAUCACUGGGCGUAAAGGGUGCGUAGGCGGAUCUUUUAAGUCAGGGGUGAAAUCCUGGAGCUCAACUCCAGAACUGCCUUUGAUACUGAGGAUCUCGAGUUCGGGAGAGGUGAGUGGAACUGCGAGUGUAGAGGUGAAAUUCGUAGAUAUUCGCAAGAACACCAGUGGCGAAGGCGGCUCACUGGCCCGAUACUGACGCUGAGGCACGAAAGCGUGGGGAGCAAACAGG